rnacentral:lncRNA from 1 species
ACACCAUUUCAAGAAUCCAAGAUUUGAACUCAUUCGACACGACGUCGUUGAGCCAAUAUUGUUAGAAGUUGAUCAGAUUUAUCAUUUGGCAUGUCCAGCUUCUCCUGUUUCUUACAAGUAUAAUCCAGUCAAGACCAUCAUAUCCUUUCACAUUUUGAACUGAUCUGUUGUUUAUUAUGUUUCUAGCACGAGUUUAAGUUUUAUAUACUAAUAGAGUAAAAGAUAUUUUUGUCAUCUAAAUAGUAAAUAUAUGUAACCGCUCACAAAAAAUGAAAUUAGCAACAUGGUAAGAAGUCAAGUUUUUGGCGGUCAACCCUUGACUAAAAUAUAAUACUAAUAGUGUAAAAUUUCUUUACAUCGUCGGUACAUAUAAGUUAAAUUCUUUAAGCAUUAGAGGUACUCAAGUAAUAUACUCACUCUUUUUUAUUUGAGAAUUUGUUAUAUGUUGCAAUUUUUCUGUCUAUAUUUGCAAUAAAGUCGGUGUUAUAGUCCAUUACAUAUCUUCUUUUAAUUAUACAACAAUUUUCAUAGGAGAUCAAUAAAUAAAAUACAGGAUCAUUUUCUUUUAUUCAAAUUGUAACUAAUUAUAGCAGAUCAUUAUUUCCAUGAGAAAAAUAUAGUAUAUAUUGUUUUGAUUUACAAGCUUGACUCUAGAUAUGUAAACAUGUAAAUCUUAUAAACUCUGUGAAUUAUAUAAAUAUGUAUUUCACUGCAUAUAAUUGUAAAUAUGUAAAGCAUAUAUGUUUGUAUUUUGGAGGUUUUUGUUUGCCUUGACUUUAAAUUGGAUAGAUAUCACAAAACAAAUGUGAUGGGAACAUUGAACAUGUUGGGAUUAGCAAAAAGAAUAGGAGCUCGAUUUUUGCUUACAAGCACAAGUGAAGUAUAUGGUGAUCCAUUGCAGCAUCCUCAGGCUGAAACUUACUGGGGCAAUG